GACGAACGCUGGCGGCGUGCUUAACACAUGCGAGUCGAACGGACAGGUCCUGCUUUUGUGGGGUGGUCGAGUGGCGACCGGGUGAGUUACCCGUGGGUAACCUGUCCUUGACUUUGGGUUAACUUCAGGCAACUGGGGCUCUUCCCGGAUAGGAGCUCUCGCUUUAUGGUGGGGGUUGGAAAGUUUCGGCGGUUGGGGAGGAACUCGCGGCGUGUCAGGUUGUUGGGGGGGUAGUGUGUUACCAUGGUCUUGACGGGUGGGCGGCCUGGGCGGGUGACCGGCCACGUUGGGACGGAGAUACGGCCCAGACUCCUACGGGAGGCAGCAGUGGGGAAGAGAGCACAAUGGGCGGAAGCCUGAUGCAGCAACGCCACGUGCGGGAUAACGGCCUGCGGGUUGGAUACCACAUUCGCCUGUGACGAGGCGUGAGUGACGGUAAUGGGUAAAGAAGCACCGGCUAACUACGUG
rnacentral:rRNA from 1 species